AGCAGUCGCCGCGGUAAUACGUAGGUCCCGAGCGUUGUCCGGAUUUAUUGGGCGUAAAGCGAGCGCAGGCGGUUAGAUAAGUCUGAAGUUAAAGGCUGUGGCUUAACCAUAGUACGCUUUGGAAACUGUUUAACUUGAGUGCAAGAGGGGAGAGUGGAAUUCCAUGUGUAGCGGUGAAAUGCGUAGAUAUAUGGAGGAACACCGGUGGCGAAAGCGGCUCUCUGGCUUGUAACUGACGCUGAGGCUCGAAAGCGUGGGGAGCAAACAGGAUUAGAUACCCGUGUAGUCCCUGUCUCUUAUACA
rnacentral:rRNA from 1 species